UACGUAGGGAGCAAGCGUUGUUCGGAUUUACUGGGCGUAAAGGGCGCGUAGGCGGCAGAUUAAGUCAGCUGUGAAAUCUCCGAGCUUAACUCGGAACUGUCAGCUGAUACUGUUUUGCUAGAGUGCGGAAGGGGCAAUCGGAAUUCUUGGUGUAGCGGUGAAAUGCGUAGAUAUCAAGAGGAACACCUGAGGUGAAGACGGGUUGCUGGGCCGACACUGACGCUGAGACGCGAAAGCGUGGGGAGCAAACAGG
rnacentral:rRNA from 1 species